AACGAACGCUGGCGGCAUGCCUAACACAUGCAAGUCGAACGAGACCUUCGGGUCUAGUGGCGCACGGGUGCGUAACGCGUGGGAACCUUCCCUUAGGUUCGGAAUAACUCCCCGAAAGGGGUGCUAAUACCGGAUAAUUUCUUCUGACCAAAGAUUUAUCGCCUUUGGAUGGGCCCGCGUUGGAUUAGCUAGUUGGUAGGGUAAAAGCCUACCAAGGCGACGAUCCAUAGCUGGUCUGAGAGGAUGAGCAGCCACACUGGGACUGAGACACGGCCCAGACUCCUACGGGAGGCAGCAGUACUGAAUAUUGGAAAAUGGGCGAAAGCCUGAUCCAGCAAUGCCGCGUGAGUGAUGAAGGCAUUAGGGUUGUAAAGCUCUUUUACCCGGGAUGAUAAUGACAGUACCGGGAGAAUAAGCUCCGGCUAACUCCGUG
rnacentral:rRNA from 1 species